UUGACGUAUAGUUGUUUCUUAUUUCUUGGGGAUUUCAGUUUUGAUCUAUUAAAGACGUGCAUCAACUCUCUCAACAGUAUAUAUAGGCUCAUUAAAAUGUUGAGUUCGUUCUACGGAAUAGGUUUCGUAAUGAAAUUGAAGUGCGAUAUAUCCGAAGAGCAGUUUUCAGACAGAGAACAACAACAUUAGUAUUAUUUUGUAGGUAAUAUUAUACGCAUUGAAUUUUUGAUACUCCCCAAAUCUGCUGUGUAUAUAGACUUUUUGGGAUGAGCUGUGUAGUUCCUCAACAGAUUUAUGAAACGGGUUGUUGACUAUGAAAAUUCUUCGUCUACACCCGAUGAAAAGUAUGACGAAAUUCCACCUACACUGUAAACAAGCAGCUCUGCGGCUGCUGUUGGGCAUAGAGAGCGAAGUUUCUCGACACACUUUAAUCAAAUGUGCCGACGCGAGUUUGCCUCCUAGCUGGCAGAACAAAACCGAGGAAGAGAGGACACACAAAAAAAAAUCUGGGAAAGCUUUAGAAAAAAACAACGA